GGCAACUUACUAAGCCAUUACUGACGCUGAGGCACGAAAGCGUGGGUAGCGAACAGGAUUAGAUACCCUGGUAGUCCACGCUGUAAACGAUGUUCACUCGCUGUUUGCGAUACACAGUAAGCGGCUGAGCGAAAGCAUUAAGUGAACCACCUGGGGAGUACGAUCGCAAGGUUGAAACUCAAAGGAAUUGACGGGGGCCCGCACAAGCGGAGGAACAUGUGGUUUAAUUCGAUGAUACGCGAGGAACCUUACCUGGGCUUAAAUGUAGAUUGCAUUUCUGAGAAAUCGGGAUUCCCUUCGGGGCUAUUUACAAGGUGCUGCAUGGUUGUCGUCAGCUCGUGCCGUGAGGUGUCGGGUUAAGUCCCAUAACGAGCGCAACCCCUAUCGUUAGUUGCCAGCGGGUCAAGCCGGGGACUCUAGCGAGACUGCCACCGUAAGGUGAGAGGAAGGUGGGGAUGACGUCAAAUCAGCACGGCCCUUAUGUCCAGGGCUACACACGUGUUACAAUGGCCGAUACAAAGGGCAGCUACUUCGCGAGAAGAUGCUAAUCUCUAAAGUCGGUCCCAGUUCGGAUUGGAGUCUGCAACCCGACUCCAUGAAGUUGGAUUCGCUAGUAAUCGCGCAUCAGCCAUGGCGCGGUGAAUACGUUCCCGGGCCUUGUACACACCGCCCGUCAAACCAUGGGAGCUGGGGGUGCCUGAAGUCUGCCACCGCAAGGAGCGGCCUAGGGUAAAGCUAGUGACUGGGGUUAAGUCGUAACAAGGUAACCGUA
rnacentral:rRNA from 1 species